rnacentral:lncRNA from 1 species
GGAGAAUAAAAAGAGAUGCAAUUUCAACAGAUGGUCAAGGAAAAACCUCUCUGAGAAGGCAGUAUUUCGGCAGAAGUCUAAAAGAUGUGCUAAAGAAGUCAUGCUACCAUUUGGGAAGACUUCCAGAAAAUGCAGCAGAGGCCCUAUGAGGAGAAGCAUUCCUGGGAGUACCAAGGAGGUUCAGCGGAUCUAGGCUUGGCUGGGCUUGGCGGCAUCGCAUUAGCCUUUGAAACAUCUGGGCCUGUCUCUAGCCAUGGACUGGAAAGAGAUCUGCUCAGUGUUGCUCCUGUCCUCUUUUUACUAGUGGCCACAUGGAGCAUUUUCUUUUCAUGGAGAAUGAUACUGGUACAACAGAACAAGCCAAACUAUGCAGGCCCAUUGAAAACCUUUGUUUGCUUCAAAUCUGCUCAGACCCCUUUGACCAGAACAAGUCAUAUGGCUAAGCUCAUGUACUGCAGGAGUGCAUACAACCUCAAGGAGACAGAGAAGAGUAAAUAUCUGACAAACAACUCAAUUCACGACUGCACUAUAUAGAAAAGUAAACUCUUAAGUAAGCCCCAGUCUGAGCUUGGGCUUCAUUGUAUAAUCAAGUGGGAAACUUUUGAAGAUACUUGUCUUUCUU